AAUACGUUCCCGGGUCUUGUACACACCGCCCGUCACACCAUGGGAGCGGGUUUUACCAGAAGUAGGUAGCUUAACCGUAAGGGGCGCUUACCACGGUAGGACUCGUGACUGGGGUG
rnacentral:rRNA from 1 species